CCUACGGGGGGCAGCAGUGGGGAAUAUUGGACAAUGGGGGCAACCCUGAUCCAGCCAUGCCGCGUGUGUGAAGAAGGCCUUUUGGUUGUAAAGCACUUUAAGCAGUGAAGAAGACUCUAUGGUUAAUACCCAUAGACGAUGACAUUAGCUGCAGAAUAAGCACCGGCUAACUCUGUGCCAGCAGCCGCGGUAAUACAGAGGGUGCAAGCGUUAAUCGGAAUUACUGGGCGUAAAGCGAGCGUAGGUGGCUUGAUAAGUCAGAUGUGAAAUCCCCGGGCUUAACCUGGGAACUGCAUCUGAUACUGUCAGGCUAGAGUAGGUGAGAGGGAGGUAGAAUUUCAGGUGUAGCGGUGAAAUGCGUAGAGAUCUGAAGGAAUACCGAUGGCGAAGGCAGCCUCCUGGCAUCAUACUGACACUGAGGUUCGAAAGCGUGGGUAGCAAACAGGAUUAGAUACCCCAGUAGUC
rnacentral:rRNA from 1 species